GGCCGGGUACGCAAACAGGCAAAGCGGCGAGCGUGAGAGGCUCGUGAUGAUGUGGGUUCGAUUCCCACCCCGGUCACUA
rnacentral:tRNA from 2 species